AUGCCAGAGGCCCCAUCCUCCUUGNCUAUCCAUUUGACCAUGAGGAAUCUUUAUUUUCAGGCCAUGUUCCACGCCCUAACUGUGGAGGACCCCCGCAACGAGCGCCCAGACCAGGAGCCCCUUCGUCCACGUUCCACACCAAGAAGAGGAGGACAAGAUGAAGAUCCUGGCUGUGUGGCAAUCCCACGCGGCCAAGUGCAAAACCUGGCCCCCCGGGCCCAGGUCCCAAGGGACAACGNUAAUGAGAUCUUGGCUGUGGAGCAACCCAAGUAGAGGAACAUACAAAACCGUGGGCUGUGAGUAGUAUUCAGAGGAGACCUCCUCUCCGCUGGUCCUUUUUACUUAAUUCCCUCAGCUAGACCCACUCAUUAACCCUUUGACUUCUCAGGUUCUUCAAGCAACAUGUCCUGUGAGCUUCACUUUAGGUUUGGCGAGCGUCAUCCCCUCCCCACCCUCUGUGGCUCCUUCUCUAACUUCUCCUCUUUCCUUUGCAGCUUUGCAGGAGCUCCUGAAGAGGCUGAGAACCAAAGCAAGCGCCGUGACUCCAGAAGAGGGCUGUUGGGUUGAGUAGGUCAACCGAUGUUGCGACUGUACCACUUGAGGGUGAAGGUGGGCUCAGGCAGCUGAAGGACCCUCCAUCCUCUUGGAGGAAGUGGUACAGUCCAGACGCCGGUCGAAGGGAGGUCCCGUCUCCCAUUUUAACCUGACAGCGCAGGCUUAGCUGGUUGCCUGAACUGGAGCCGAGAAGGAAUUUUUCCCUGUUGGAUCCAAAUUGGCCCUGGGAGAAAAUGGGGUUUUUUCGCCUUCUCUGCGCUGCCUUCUCCUUGGGCUGCUCCGGAUUGGCUGACAGCUCAGGGGGAGUUAAAAUGGGGGCUCCUGGGAGGUAAGGUGGUUUAGAGCUGGGUAAUACUCCUCAACGUUCUAGUUUAAUAAAAACCUGUUGAGCUGAAAUGAAUCGCGUCUU
rnacentral:lncRNA from 1 species